rnacentral:rRNA from 1 species
GACGAACGCUGGCGGCGUGCUUAACACAUGCAAGUCGAACGGAAAGGCCCUGCUUUUGUGGGGUGCUCGAGUGGCGAACGGGUGAGUAACACGUGAGUAACCUGCCCUUGACUUUGGGAUAACUUCAGGAAACUGGGGCUAAUACCGGAUAGGAGCUCCCGCUGCAUGGUGGGGGUUGGAAAGUUUCGGCGGUUGGGGAUGGACUCGCGGCUUAUCAGCUUGUUGGUGGGGUAGUGGCUUACCAAGGCUUUGACGGGUAGCCGGCCUGAGAGGGUGACCGGCCACAUUGGGACUGAGAUACGGCCCAGACUCCUACGGGAGGCAGCAGUGGGGAAUACUGCACAAUGGGCGGAAGCCUGAUGCAGCAACGCCGCGUGCGGGAUGACGGCCUUCGGGUUGUAAACCGCUUUCGCCUGUGACGAAGCGUGAGUGACGGUAAUGGGUAAAGAAGCACCGGCUAACUACGUG